UGAGAUUGGUGUGUUGCUUUUGUGUAAAAAGCUAAAUCCUCUCUCCCCUUCACAAACGUCCAACACCUCCUUCGCUUCAUUCUAUUUGUCUUCUUCCUCUUCUCUUCACACGACAGCGCCGACAACGGGAGUCGAAGACAAACGACGGCGAUGAGAACACCAACGACCGUCAACCUGUACCUCCAAAAUCCUCUUCCCGUCCUCUUUCCGACUCCCAAGUUAGUUUCAUCAAAUUCGAAGCCGAAUUUUUUCAAUUUCAGAUCUAAGAAACGGUAACCGCAUGUUUUCCAGCCAAUUUGCGGCCAAGCUUGCCGGCAUUGGACCUCGACCAAGAAGUAAAGAUGAUCCUCUCCUCGUGGGCUGUCCUCCAGUUUUUGUCUGUUGGCAGGUUCUUUGAUAGAAUUGGUGUAUUUCUCAACGAACAGUGACGAUUCGUCUUCUUUGAAUGAGAGUUUAGCAGCUUCUAAUGGCGAUAGAGGGCGUCCUGUUCUUGAAGGGAAGCUCCAUUUUGCAAAGUUUGAAACUCAGAAAAUCAAUGACUGUAUAGACUUCAUUCGAUCCAAGCAACUUCGCCUUACUGAUGAUUUCAGGCUCCCAACAACACGGAGCUUCUGGGAGCGCCAAGUGCGUUAUUAAGGCCACAGGUGGUGGGGCAUUAAGUACGCAGAUCUUUUUAAAGAAAAGCUUGGGAUUUCUCUUGACAAGGCAGAUGAAAUGGACUGUUUUGUGGCCGGAGCAAAUUUUCUGCUUAAGGUGGGAUCCUAAAACCACUUACAUUCAGUCUAAUCCUGUUAUCUUCAGUACUUACUGUAAGCAUUUGGGUCUACUUACUAGUUGUACAGCUAAUUGUGUAUGAAGUGUCUUUAUAUAUAUGUUUUACAUUCAGUCUAAUCCUACAAGUGUUAAAUGUAUAACAUUCAGUACUUACUGUAAGCAUUUGUCCGAUGCCUUAGCAAUUGUUGUUACUGCACUUUAAUUCUUGUGCACUAAUGAUCUAGCAUAUGCUUUGCAUACUUCACUUGUAGUUUUCUUUUACUGUUAUAUUCUGCAAUAUCAAUUCAUGGUCUAGGGCGAAACAGAGAGGAAAGAUUUUCAAAAAGCAAAUUUUGUAUUGAAAGGAGAGGAUUAAGAAGUCCAAGUAAAAAAGAGGCGUGGUUUUGCAGUCUAUGAUUGCGACGGUGACAAUCAAUGCUUUUUGAGGGGUUAGGUUUGUUCGUUUUGGCGUCAUCGUCCCCAUCUGAGCAAAUCUAUGCUCAGAAAUCAGAGAUGAGAGCCCCAAGACCGUUGCCUACACCGCCAUCUCUGAAAAGCUGAGCCCAGAUCUCGCGAGAGAUUCAAGCUCCACACAAGCGGAUCCAAAGGCCAAACCUCCAAUCUCGGAGUUGACACACCCAGAGCUCGGUGGAGGUUAUCUUUUUGGGCUACCUGUUGGUUAUGUUGCUGAUUCAAUUGGAGCCACUUUAGGUGCAGGGGCUGCUUUCCUUCUGGGAAGAGCUGUAUGUUUCUAUCCUAAACUCUUGUAUUGGAAUUUCCUGGUUUUUUGAGUUUUUGAAAAAAGAGAAAAUAUUAAUGCAUUUAUAUGUGUGAUUAUGCGCGCGCUCUUCACUGAUAUUCCGUUCUCAUUUAUGUUCUCCCUCAUUCGUAUGUAAAUGCUUUGUUUGUAUCUUGUCUUCUGCCCAUUGGUCAUAAAUAUAUUAUCUAUGCUUUCUUUAUCUUAUUCUUGAAUACCCACGCAAAUUGGGAGAUCAUUUGUUGUUUCAAGGUUGAAGGUGGUCUGCAUAUUCAUGAACUUGUCAAUUUAAUAUGUUCUUAGUUGAAGUUGCAGAAGGGUUGCAGUGAAUUUGUGGAGAUUUUUGUAUGGUAAAUUAUGACUGCAAACCCCUUGAAAAUCUACUUUUCCUAGGCUGCAGCUGAUGAUCAGAUUCAAGUUAUUGAGAUGAUUAAGCUCUUGGAAACAAAGGGUUCGAAGACUUUUUAAAGUUUGGUUCCAACAUUUGUACAAAAUUCUAUAAAAUAUCAGUUAUGCAAAUUUAUAGUUGUAUUCUUAUAUUUUAAUGAUAUAACAAUUUGUUUUCUCACCAAAAAUAGAAAAACAAAUAUGAUACUCCAAUUUGGGUGCUCACACAGGGCAUCCUUUUUUCUAAUAUUAUUUUGCAACUU